GACGAACGCUGGCGGCGUGCCUAAUACAUGCAAGUCGAGCGGACCAAAGGGAGCUUGCUCCUGGAGGUUAGCGGCGAACGGGUGAGUAACACGUGGGCAACCUGCCUGUAAGACUGGGAUAACAUCGAGAAAUCGGUGCUAAUACCGGAUAAUAAAAAGAACUGCAUGGUUCUUUUUUGAAAGAUGGUUUCGGCUAUCACUUACAGAUGGGCCCGCGGCGCAUUAGCUAGUUGGUGAGGUAACGGCUCACCAAGGCAACGAUGCGUAGCCGACCUGAGAGGGUGAUCGGCCACACUGGGACUGAGACACGGCCCGGACUCCUACGGGAGGCAGCAGUAGGGAAUCUUCCGCAAUGGACGAAAGUCUGACGGAGCAACGCCGCGUGAGUGAUGAAGGUUUUCGGAUCGUAAAACUCUGUUGUUAGGGAAGAACAAGUGCCGUUCGAAAGGGCGGCACCUUGACGGUACCUAACGAGAAAGCCACGGCUAACUACGUGCCAGCAGCCGCGGUAAUGUA
rnacentral:rRNA from 1 species